rnacentral:rRNA from 1 species
GUGGGGAAUAUUGGACAAUGGGGGGAACCCUGAUCCAGCCAUGCCGCGUGUGUGAAGAAGGCCUUUUGGUUGUAAAGCACUUUAAGUGGGGAGGAGGCUUACCUGGUUAAUACCUGGGCUAAGUGGACGUUACCCACAGAAUAAGCACCGGCUAACUCUGUGCCAGCAGCCGCGGUAAUACAGAGGGUGCGAGCGUUAAUCGGAUUUACUGGGCGUAAAGCGCGAGUAGGUGGUUAAUUAAGUCAAAUGUGAAAUCCCCGAGCUUAACUUGGGAAUUGCAUUCGCUACUGGUUAGCUAGAGUAUGGGAGAGGAUGGUAGAAUUCCAGGUGUAGCGGUGAAAUGCGUAGAGAUCUGGAGGAAUACCGAUGGCGAAGGCAGCCAUCUGGCCUAAUACUGACACUGAGGUGCGAAAGCAUGGGGAGCAAACAGGAUUAGAAACCCCAGUAGUCC